rnacentral:rRNA from 1 species
GACGAACGCUGGCGGCGUGCCUAAUACAUGCAAGUAGAACGCUGAAGAGAGGAGCUUGCUCUUCUUGGAUGAGUUGCGAACGGGUGAGUAACGCGUAGGUAACCUGCCUUGUAGCGGGGGAUAACUAUUGGAAACGAUAGCUAAUACCGCAUAACAAUGGAUGACACAUGUCAUUUAUUUGAAGGGGGCAAUUGCUCCACUACAAGAUGGACCUGCGUUGUAUUAGCUAGUAGGUGAGGUAAUGGCUCACCUAGGCGACGAUACAUAGCCGACCUGAGAGGGUGAUCGGCCACACUGGGACUGAGACACGGCCCAGACUCCUACGGGAGGCAGCAGUAGGGAAUCUUCGGCAAUGGGGGCAACCCUGACCGAGCAACGCCGCGUGAGUGAAGAAGGUUUUCGGAUCGUAAAGCUCUGUUGUAAGUCAAGAACGGGUGUGAGAGUGGAAAGUUCACACUGUGACGGUAGCUUACCAGAAAGGGACGGCUAACUACGUG